UACGAAGGGGGCUAGCGUUGCUCGGAAUCACUGGGCGUAAAGCGCACGUAGGCGGAUUGUUAAGUCAGGGGUGAAAUCCUGGAGCUCAACUCCAGAACUGCCUUUGAUACUGACGGUCUUGAGUCCGGGAGAGGUGAGUGGAACUCCGAGUGUAGAGGUGAAAUUCGUAGAUAUUAGGAAGAACACCGGUGGCGAAGGCGGCCCACUGGUCCGGUACUGACGCUGAGGUGCGAAAGCGUGGGGAGCAAACAGG
rnacentral:rRNA from 1 species